rnacentral:rRNA from 1 species
UACGUAGGGUGCAAGCGUUGUCCGGAAUUAUUGGGCGUAAAGAGCGUGUAGGCGGCCCGAUUAGUCCGCUGUGAAAGUCCAGGGCUCAACCCUGGAAUGCCGGUGGAUACUGUCGGGCUAGAGUCCGGAAGAGGCGAGUGGAAUUCCUGGUGUAGCGGUGGAAUGCGCAGAUAUCAGGAGGAACACCGAUGGCGAAGGCAGCUCGCUGGGACGGUACUGACGCUGAGGCGCGAAAGCGUGGGGAGCAAACAGG